rnacentral:rRNA from 1 species
GAUUGAAAGUUGUGGGGCAGCCUAGCACCUGCAAGUCGAGCGCAGCGGAAAAGUACUUUCUUUUUGCCGACAAUCCGCGGACGGGUGAGUAAUGUUUGGGAAACUUUUGAUGGAGGGAGAUAACUACUGGAAACGGUAGCUAAUACCGCAUGACCUCGAAAGAGCAAAGUGGGGGAUCUUCGGACCUCACGCCAUCGGAUGUGCCCAGAUGGGAUUAGCUAGUAGGUGAGGUAAUGGCUCACCUAGGCGACGAUCCUUAGCUGGUCUGAGAGGAUGACCAGCCACACUGGAACUGAGACACGGUCCAGACUCCUACGGGAGGCAGCAGUGGGGAAUAUUGCACAAUGGGCGCAAGCCUGAUGCAGCCAUGCCGCGUGUGUGAAGAAGGCCUUAGGGUUGUAAAGCACUUUCAGCGAGGAGGAAGGCAUCAUACUUAAUACGUGUGGUGAUUGACGUUACUCGCAGAAGAAGCACCGGCUAACUCCGUGCCAGCAGCCGCGGUAAUACGGAGGGUGCAAGCGUUAAUCGGAAUUACUGGGCGUAAAGCGCACGCAGGCGGUUUGUUAAGUCAGAUGUGAAAUCCCCGCGCUUAACGUGGGAACUGCAUUUGAAACUGGCAAGCUAGAGUCUUGUAGAGGGGGGUAGAAUUCCAGGUGUAGCGGUGAAAUACGUAGAGAUCUGGAGGAAUACCGGUGGCGAAGGCGGCCCCCUGGACAAAGACUGACGCUCAGGUGCGAAAGCGUGGGGAGCAAACAGG